CGAAAUAUAUGUAGAUAUCACUGUCGCUCUCAUCCUCUCAAUCUCUCAAUCAUUCUAUCCCGGCGAUCCCCGCAACGGAGGGAAGUGGCAGAGGCGGCUGUGUUCUUUAUCAACCUGGAUCAACACGGCCGGGCCGGCAAGGGGAGGAGCGGUGGCGUUCUUUAUCAACUUGGAUCAACAUGGCCGGGCCGGCGAGGGGAGGAGCGGCGGUGGCGUUGGUCGUGGCCGGCGAGGAGAGGAGCGGCGGCGGUGUUGGGUGGCUGUCGCCCGUCGGAGCUAGGCGAGAAAGGAGCAGGCGGCGGCGGCUCAACUUCACAUCCCGUGGUGGCCAUUUGUUUGAUUACUCAAGUGCGGUUGUGGCAUUUCCAUUGUUAGGAUAAAUGGAAUUCUGGUGCUAGGAUAAAUGGACUUGUUGGUUUCCUCUAAGAUGGAUAUUUUGCAGCCACAAGCCAGAGAAAAAGGUGGUAAAUGUUGGCACAAAAUGAAGGUCAUGUGAUUGCUAAGGAUCCGUCCGAACCACACGAAGAUUCGUGGAGUGUUGUUGCCCCUUCAGGCGACCUGAUGUUGGGCCGAGAGCCUUGGACGAAGAUAGGUCAUCGCCAUGAACGAGUCAACAUGUGUCUUUGCUAGAGUGGACGGACCGUGUUCUUAGUGACAUCUACUUCACUUUUUUACUUAUCAAAAGGAUCGAACGAUUAAAAGCAUUUUAUCUAUGUUGAUAAAUUUAUUCUCUUAUAAAUUUUCGUGUUUAUU